AAAUUCAGUAAAGUGAAGAAGGUUUGUGGAGAAUGACUUGGGCAACAAAGCCGAAAUCCACCAAACAGUAAGAAAAAAUUCCUACAACUUACAAACCCGUUGAAAAGUCAAAUCUCACUUUUAUGAUUGGGACAGGCAACCUUGCAUGGAAACCCGGUUCAUCGUCGCAGGAAAAAAUAAUAUUUUAUUAUUUAGAUGUACUUUGAUCAAAAAUAAAUUAAGGAGUAAGAAAAUUUGAAAAGAGGCGUAUCCGAUGUUUCCAUAAUUGUUGAAUGAUACAAAUUAGACUACAUAGAUUGAUAUUAUAUCCUUUCAACAAUG